CUUGGUCAUUUAGAGGAAGUAAAAGUCGUAACAAGGUUUCCGUAGGUGAACCUGCGGAAGGAUCAUUACAGUAGUCACCCAGGUUGCCGCAAGGCCUCCUGGGUAACCUACCACCCUUUGUUUAUUACACUUUGUUGCUUUGGCAAGCCUGCCCUCGGGCUGCUGGCUCCGGCCGGCGAGCGCUUGCCAGAGGACCUAAACUCUGUUUGUCUAUACUGUCUGAGUACUAUAUAAUAGUUAAAACUUUCAACAACGGAUCUCUUGGUUCUGGCAUCGAUGAAGAACGCAGCGAAAUGCGAUAAGUAAUGUGAAUUGCAGAAUUCAGUGAAUCAUCGAAUCUUUGAACGCACAUUGCGCCCCCUGGUAUUCCGGGGGGCAUGCCUGUCCGAGCGUCAUUACAACCCUCAAGCUCAGCUUGGUAUUGGGCCCCGCCGACCCGGCGGGCCCUAAAGUCAGUGGCGGUGCCGUCCGGCUCCGAGCGUAGUAAUUCUUCUCGCUCUGGAGGUCCGGUCGUGUGCUCGCCAGCAACCCCCAAUUUUUUUCAGGUUGACCUCGGAUCAGGUAGGGAUACCCGCUGAACUUAAGCAUAUCAAUAAGCGGAGGA
rnacentral:rRNA from 1 species